CAGCCGCCGCGGUAAUACCGGCGGCCCGAGUGGCGGCCACUAUUAUUGGGCCUAAAGCGUCCGUAGCCGGGCUGGUAAGUCCCCCGGGAAAUCUGGCGGCUUAACCGUCAGAAUUCCGGGGGAUACUGCCAGCCUAGGGACCGGGAGAGGCCGGGGGUAUUCCCGGGGUAGGGGUGAAAUCCUGUAAUCCCGGGAGGACCACCUGUGGCGAAGGCGCCCGGCUGGAACGGGUCCGACGGUGAGGGACGAAGGCCAGGGGAGCAAACCGGAUUAGAUACCCGGGUAGUCCUGGCUGUAAACGAUGCGGACUUUGUGUCGGACAAGCUAUGAGCUUGUCCGGUGCCGGAGGGAAACCGUUAAGUCCGCCGCCUGGGGAGUACGGCCGCAAGGCUGAAACUUAAAGGAAUUGGCGGG
rnacentral:rRNA from 1 species